AGAUACGCCGCUGAUCUGCCAGCAGUGUUUUUCUCAUAAUGGCAUGGCUCUGAAAGAAGUUUGAAUAUCUAGCAUUUCGUUGCGCGUAUUGCUACUUUAUGAAUCCAGCUAGGAAGACUCGUCCUCAGGCCCCCCGACUUCCAGAGUUCAGCUUUGAAAAGAGGCUGCGGGCUGAAUCACGUUCACCUGGGCCAUCACCACGUUCUGGGACAGAUACAGAGGAGAGCGCGCCACCUUCUGGAGCAAAAGCUCCAGCUCCGUGGAAUUUGGUCCACAGUUUCCAGAUCCAACAAAGACCAGAGACUCGACCUCUGCGGAGUCCAGGUUUCCCUGCCCCUUCUCUCCCUGCGCUGUGCAAGCCGGCAUAAUUUGAACCGAUUUAAUUAUCGCCAGAUAGGUCCAUCUUUCUUUGCUGUAGAAUCCAUAACACUGUAGAAUGCAGCCAAUCCCAAACUGCUACCAGUAAUCAGACUAAAGCAAUGAUGGGUGUUAGCUGGUGAUGGAUGUCACCACACCUGGGUCCGAUAGGAGUCAUAAAUGGAUUUUAUCCUGCCUUAAAGAAAUUUUAAAGCCACACUGCAAAACAAAAUAAAUAGAUAAAUAAAAAACAUAAUGUGACAUUUUAAUGCUUCUGCUGAUCCACUGAUCCUGUAUUUCUUGAGCUGAAAUUAUCCUUAUAGACUAUACAUUUAAACAACGUGACUUUGAUCUGACUUAUUUGACCCAGGUUUGGUAUUCACGGAGUGUGCAAAAUAUUUAGACCUUCUUCUUAACUAAGUAAUUUUUGCUUUGGAGUCCAUGUAGAAACGUGAAAAUGAUCGAAAAAAAACAUGCCAUUGUUCCUGAUUUAAUUCCCAUUCAGCUGGGAUAAUAUUAAUAUACAUUUUUGGGGCAAUUUUAAAUUGAUUAAAUAUCCAAGGACUGGUAGGUGCUUUCAGUCACCCCAUUGGAAAAUUUGACCUAAAUUUAUUUACUCUGCACUUAUGUCAGAAGAUGUGCUGUGUCAUGUAAUCAUUGCCAAUCUCCACCUGAACUAUAAAUCCUCCACAAACAGGAAUCAAAUCUUCCUUUUGCCACAGUCUAGUUCUACAAUACAUUUCUGUGUAAUUGACUGAAUUUACACCAUCAAAUUUCUUUCUUCUUCUUUUUUUUUCUAAAACUCAAGUGGUUUUGUCCAUCACUAAAUUAAUCAUUAUACAUCACAGCGUUUUUUCAUUUUCAUUCCUAACAUGUAAUAACAUGUACUUGAGGUGUAGAUACGUAUGCCAUAGCCUCUGAUGUUGGUCUUCCUGGGCUUUUAAUUGAUGGAAGAGGAGAGGUUUCUGGGUGUGUUAGUUAAGCUCCUUACAUUGCCUGCUCCUUCCAAAUCUGUUUGUAGAAAACACUCUUGUAAGCUUACAGAAUGUUAACCUUAACAACAGGAAUGCUGCUAAUUUCCUUUACUACCUGAUCCAAGAAACCAAUCAUUUGUUGUACUGCAAACUCUUUACGUUAGCCCAAAGCUUGCUCU